rnacentral:rRNA from 1 species
CGUAGGUGGCGAGCGUUGUCCGGAUUUACUGGGCGUAAAGGGAGCGUAGGCGGACUUUUAAGUGAGAUGUGAAAUACCCGGGCUUAACUUGGGUGCUGCAUUUCAAACUGGAAGUCUAGAGUGCAGGAGAGGAGAAUGGAAUUCCUAGUGUAGCGGUGAAAUGCGUAGAGAUUAGGAAGAACACCAGUGGCGAAGGCGAUUCUCUGGACUGUAACUGACGCUGAGGCUCGAAAGCGUGGGGAGCAAACAGGAUUAGAUACCCUGGUA